UACGGAGGGGGCUAGCGUUGUUCGGAAUUACUGGGCGUAAAGCGCACGUAGGCGGACUGUUAAGUCGGGGGUGAAAUCCUGGGGCUCAACCUCAGAAUUGCCUCCGAUACUGGCAGUCUCGAGUGCGGGAGAGGUGAGUGGAAUUCCCAGUGUAGAGGUGAAAUUCGUAGAUAUUGGGAAGAACACCAGUGGCGAAGGCGGCUCACUGGCCCGUAACUGACGCUGAGGUGCGAAAGUGUGGGGAGCAAACAGG
rnacentral:rRNA from 1 species